rfam:Streptomyces fradiae strain ATCC 19609 contig0111, whole genome shotgun sequence.
CUUCAGGGAGCCGAGCCACAGCGGGCGCUCCGCCGUACGGGCCGUUCCAUAGGUGGCGAGCAGCGCCCCGGCCUC